rfam:Ictidomys tridecemlineatus contig074021, whole genome shotgun sequence.
UGGAUUGUGGCUCAGUGGUAGAGUGCUUGCCUAGCACGCAGGAGGCCCUGGGUUCGAUCCUCAGCACCACAU